GGCCUGAUGGUCUAGUGGUAGGAUUGACGCUUCGGGAAUUCAUCCCAUUUCUCCCAGGGAAAUUGUGUCAGGUCCCGGGUUCAAUCCCCGGUCAGGCCC